rnacentral:lncRNA from 10 species
CUGGCUUUGACCCAGCACUGCUGGACCCAUCUAGUCCGUUCCUCACACUCGCGGACUGGAAGCUCCAGGCUGCACAACCACCAACUGCACCAACCAUGUGCCUAAAGCUAACUGUGUCAAAAAGAGCAUGCUUCGAGGGGCUGGAGUGAGCAAUUCAACUUGUGGAGAAAUAAGAAAUAAUAGUGUUGAGACAAGAAACAUAAAACCGCAGGAACUUUUGGAGAAAGAUUUCUUGGGAGGAAGCUAUCCUGAACGCUUAGAGACUUUUCUCAUUUACUGGCACACCAGCUUUAGAGUCCUAGGUCUUCAUCCUGGCUCAGCCACCCUCCAGCUGUGUGAACUUUGAGAAGUUGCUUGACUACACUGAGUCUCGUUGUCACUAUGAGUGGAGGUUGCUACGUUGCUACUGUGUGGAGCACCUACCCCCAAGCACUCUUAUAAGCUUGCCGUUGUUUGAUUCCAGCUGCAGCAUAUCAUGAGUGAUGAGAUCUGUGUACAGGUGACUGACCUUUACCUGGCAGAAAAUAAUAAUGGGGCCACCGGAGGCCAGCCGAACACACAGAACUCAAGAAGCCUCCUGGAGUCAACGUAUCCACAGAAAGCCAAGCAGCUAAUGUCAGAUGAGAAAUGCUUUAAGGUGAGAGUUGCUCAUGUAGUCAAAGACCUUGCUGGUGACAAUGUAAGUUGUUAGGAUUCUCUGAAUCGGAAGUUAUAGCCAGGGUACUUUGACCCCGUGAUUCUACUCCUGGAACUUUUUAGAGUUCCUAAUGAGUUCACCAGAGAAAUACAAAGUGGAAGUAACCAUCUUCCUGGACAAUCUAUUUUGUUUCUUUCUUGCCUUAAAAAAAAAAAACUAGUUAUAUAUGAUUUUUACAAUUUUGUAUUCUUCUUUUUCCCUGAACAUUUUUCAUAAUAUGCUUUGUAUCUCUUAUUGUUAAAAAAAAAAGUUGGUACAUGAAACCCAUGGUCGUGGUCAUUAUAGAAAAAAAAGUAGGCCUGGCACACUUGGCUCACACUUGUAAUCCCAGCACUCUGGCAGGCCGAGAUGGGUAGAUCGCUUGAGACCAGCUUGGGCAAUGCAGCAAAACCCCAUCUUUGCAAAAAAUACAAGAAUACAAAAAUUAGCCAGGUGUGGUGGCAUGCGCCUCUAGUCCCAGCUACUCAGGAGACAGAGGUGGGAGAAUUGCUUAAGCCUGGGAGGUCAAGGUUGCAGUGAGCCCUGAUCAUAUCACUAUGUUCCAGCCUGGGUGACAGAGUAAGACCCUAUCUC